rnacentral:rRNA from 1 species
CAAAUUUAAAAUCUACCUGGUUUYCAGGUCGAGUUGUAAUUUGAAGAUACGUUUUUGACGUUCCGGGUUGAACUAAAUCCUUUGGGAUAAGGUAUCAUGGAGGGUGAGAAUCCCGUAUAUACCAACCRYAGGGAUGUUAUUUAAUACGUUUCUAAGAGUCGAGUUGUUUGGGAAUGCMGCUCUAAAUGGGUGGUAAAUUUCACCUAAUGCUAAAUAUAAGCGAGAGACCGAUAGCGAACAAGUACAGUGAUGGAAAGAUGAAAAGAACUUUGAAAAGAGAGUUAAAUAGUAYGUGAAAUUGUUGAAAGGGAAACGAUUGAAGUCMGUCMUGCCVGUGGGAAUCAACUUWGAGGAAACUCUGAGUGCACUUCUUCGCUUGGCAGGUCAACGUYGAUUUUGGAUGUCAUAAAAUGAUUGGGGGAAGGUAGCYCYYUCGGGAGUGUUAUAGCCCUUGGUAGAUGUGAUGUCUGGGAUCGAGGAUUGCAAUGGAUACCCUUUGGGGCUAGCCGCCUGAUCUCUAAUYGGUAUUGGGUUACGGAUAGCAUGCUGACCGUGAUCUAAUUAUUGGUUAAAAGGUUAG